rnacentral:rRNA from 1 species
AUUGAACGCUGGCGGCAUGCCUUACACAUGCAAGUCGAGCGGCAGCACGGGAGCAAUCCUGGUGGCGAGUGGCGAACGGGUGAGUAAAGUAUCGGAACGUGCCCAGUCGUGGGGGAUAACGUAGCGAAAGUUACGCUAAUACCGCAUACGAUCUAUGGAUGAAAGCGGGGGAUCGCAAGACCUCGCGCGAUUGGAGCGGCCGAUAUCAGAUUAGGUAGUUGGUGGGGUAAAGGCUCACCAAGCCGACGAUCUGUAGCUGGUCUGAGAGGACGACCAGCAACAAUGGGACUGAGACACGGCCACGACUCCUACGGGAGGAGGCAGUGGGGAAGUUUGGACAAUGGACGAAAGCCUGAUCCAGCCAUGCCGCGUGCAGGAUGAAGGCCUUCGGGUUGUAAACGGCUUUUGUACGGAACGAAAAGGUUUGGGCUAAUAAGCUGAGCUCAUGACGGUACCGUAAGAAUAGGCACCGGCUAACUACGUGCCAGCCGCCGCGGUAA